rnacentral:lncRNA from 1 species
CGAAACAUCCGGUGAUCAACCUUUCUUGUUCCUUAAGGAAAAGGGCAAGCCAGUCAUUUACAGUGUUUGCCAACCCUAAUACAUCUACCUUUUCCCCCUAUAAAAAGGGUGAAUGCCUUUUGGUUUGCCAUUGUGGCUCUACUCACUAUGGAGAAGAGAGAAUAUGAAUCUAAAAUUAAGAGUAAAUUGGCUCAACAUUAAUAACAAACUCAGCGAAAUUUCACUUAAGAUCUUCUCUAUAUAUGGAAACUAUGUAUGAGACAUGAAUCUAUUUUUGUGAAGAAGUUGAUCACAAAAAGGAUGAGAACAUCAAUGAAACUUGUGUUUGAAGGAAUUGGCAUGCUUAUUCUUGUAUGGUAAGUUGUUUUGUGUUAGUACCAUCUGUAUCUUUUCUUAUUUGACUUGCUCUUCUAAUGUUUGCAUUUGGUUUUGAAAUUGUUUGUUAAAGAAUUUGGCUAUUAGUUUGGUUUUCAAAAACACUUGUGCUAUAAUGGGUUUAGUUCUUGCAAAAUUUAUUUUUAAUAUUUGUGGGUUUGGAUUUGGAAUCUUUUAAUUCUAUGUUAGAUAUUCUAAAUAAAUCCUAAAUUAAACCAAAAUCAAAUCUACUAAGGGUAAUAAAAGAUAUUCAAUUCAAUUCAAUUGUACUAUGAAUGAAAAUAAUGUUGGAUAUCUAUUUUUUAGUUUUUUCAUGGCUUAGAACAUAACUUAUUUUUCUUUUAGUGUUUAGUCAUAAAUAAUAAUACAUUCGUUCCAGUUUAUAUGAACAUAUUUUCUUUUUAAUCCGUUUAAAAAAGAAUGACCCCUUUUUAAAUUUGGAAAUAAUUUUGCUUAAACUUACAAUUCUAUCGUUAAUGAGAAGCUUUUAUAACCACACAAAUACUCUUUGCCCCUUUUUGAAUUGUUUAGGACCACAAAUUUCAAAAGUUUUUAUUUUUUCUUAAAUUUCGUGCUCAGACAAACAUGCUCACAUAAAUUGAAACAGAGGGAGUAGUAUUUAUUAGUCGUACUUAUUUUAGCAACUUAUUAGUAAUUUUAAAUUAUGUUUGUUUUUAUUAUGGCUUAUUAAUAAUAUUUAUUUUAUGCGAUUUUCUCAUCUUUAUUUUGGAUAUUUUAGUACAAUGCCAUGAAUCAUCUCAUAUUUAUGUUAUUUUAUUAAAAAACACCUUAUAUAGUUCUGUCUUACUAGGAUUAAAGAAAUAUUUGGAGCAUAAAUUCUAUGUUUUGUGCUACGAAGACUUUAUGGAAAGAAAAACCGAAACAACCCAAAAAUCCGAAAUAUCCAAGAUUUAAAACCCCGACUUUGAUUAGUUUGGUUUGAUCUUUAAAUUUAAUAAUCCGAUAUAAUUAAUUUGGUUUGAUAAUUAAAAAAUUCAAACCAAUUCGACCUAUGUACGCGCCUCACAGUUAUUAGUGUUGAUGGUGGUUGAUAGUGUUACAGUGCGCUGGAGGCUAGUAAUAGAGGUUGUUGGUGAUAGUGACAAUUUGAUAACGCUUGAUGAUUGAUACUCUUUAUUUUUUUAAAGUGUUAGAGUUCUCUUGAGAUAUCUUGAUUAGUUCACCAAAUAUCUAGUACCUUUAAUUAAUAUUUAUAUUGUUGGCUUUAGCCAUCAAUUAAACAAAUGAAAAGAAAUACUUCAUCUCCUUAUUUCUUCUGCUGUACGCCACACUUGUAGUCUUGUUGAUGAGACGAUGAUGGUGUCUUACCAGAGUAACAUAAUCUUACAUACUACUUUACAUAUUAAGUGGGUGUUUGGACAUAAGAAUUGUAAAAUUUCAAAAAAAAUAAAUUUUUUUUCAAGUAAAUGUAGUAUUUGGAAAUUAGAGUUGUGUUUGAACAUGAAUAUAAGUUUGGGUUAUUUUUGAAUUUUUGUGAGUGAUCUGAGUGAAAAAUUUCGAAAAAUAGUUUUUUUGGAGUUUUUUAAAUUUUUCGAAAAAUUCCAAAAUUUAUCUUCAAGUGAAAAUUGAAAAUUUUAUGGCCAUUUCGAAAAUAAGUGAUUUUUUCCCGAAAAUAAGCGAAAACAAUUUCAUGGCCAAACGGGCACUAAGACUUGUCACGUGUAAUUGAACUAAUCGCCAGUUUGACCAAAUACAAUUUUUUUUUUUGCUAAAAGUAUUUUUUUUUUUGAAAGUUAUGUUUGGCCAAGUUUCUAGAAGGACCGGUUUCUAGAAGCAAAAAAAGGUACUUCUUCCCAAAAUAUUUUUUUGAAAAAAUACUUUUGAGAAAAAUACAUUUAAAAAUGCUAUUUAAAAGCGUGAUCAAAUACUAAUUGAUAUUCAAAAAUAUUUUUUAGAUUAAUUAGUCAAACACAAUCUACUUUUAUCAAAAAUAAUUUUAGAAAAAUUAAUUUUCAAAAUAAACAGAUUGAUGUAGGUCCAUCAGUGGUGAUUGAUGUUGGUCCAUAGGUAACUCUGUCCUUUUCCUUGAACAGAUAGCCCUAUGGUUGUUUGAUAUUUGGGGAGGAAUUAAAAAAUAGUUAGAUUUAUAAGUGGUAAUUGAAAAAUAGUUAAAGUUUCAAAAGUAAUUAAAAUUUAGUCACUUUUUAUGUAAAGAUAAAUUUGAACGAAAAUACUGUUCAAAAUUCGGAAAAUAUUCCAGCAUAAUAUAUUGGAGUUCGAAUUUUUUACAUUUGGAGUUUCAGCAUAAUAUACUUGUGUUCCAGCAUAAUAUACUGGAGUUCCAGCAUAAUAUACUGGUCCAGCAUAAUAUGCUGGAAGUUCAUACAUAUGUGUUCCAAUCUUCAGUAUAUUAUGCUAGAACUUUUUGUGUGCUAGAGUUCCAGCAUAAUAUGCUGGAAGUUCAUACACAUGUGCAUUAAUCUCCAGUAUAUUAUGCCAGAACUUUCCGUACUGUAGCAAAAUAAUAUUGGCUAUUUUUAAAUAAAUUUGUAAGUGCUGUUUAUUUUCAAUUACUAAUCCGAAAACUGACUAACCAGCGUUAUUUUCACGAUAUUUGGCCUGGUAUCAUGGUCCAACUUUUCCUGAAUUGGACUUUCGUCUCUAAGCUAUCACAUGCCUUGAGCUGGAAUACCCGGCAAAUAUGUACGUAAUAGGCAUUUUCUUCGUCCCAUUUUCUGUAUCAUACUUUUUUUUUUCCAAUCUCAAUGAAUAAUAAAUUUCUAUUUUCAAAACGAUCUAACUUUAAAUAUCAGUUUGCUUUUAACGAGUUUUAGCUACACAAAUGCACAUUGGGACGUGCUUUAGACCAAAUUUUUUUAUAAAAAAAUCUUAAGCAUCAUGCCUAAUAAAUACUUUUUUUUUUUGGUAACAUUGUGAAUAUUAUCAUUGAUCAACCAAAUGAUUAUACAUAUUAAGCAUUUUACAUCAUAAUCACCUCCUCAAAGGUUCUAUGAAUGCUCCAUCUCAACACUAUCUAUACAUCAAUGAUAUUCCUCAAGAAUUCCCUACAGCUAUUUGCCUUGACUUAUGAAUAUUACUUAAUCUAACUAAUGUUUCCUGCUUAAUCUGUUCUGUAGUAUCUGCACUAUUUACAUUAGCUCCUUUAAAGUUCUUUCAAUUUCUUGCCUUUCAUAUAUGAUAGAAGUCAACUCCCAUUGUUGAUGCAACUCUUUCUUUCUUUAACUGUUUCCAUUUCUUCUUUUUGAUGUUAUUCAUUGUGCUCGCUAUGUCUCCUUCUUGCAAUUGUACACCAAGCCAUCUCAGCAUCUCAGCACGAACAUUCUUUAUCCAGUUGCAUUCUACAAAUAAAUGCUGACUUGUUUCAGUUUUUUAUUCAUCACAUAAACAACACUCCACAUUGUCUACAUGAAUCUGCAACUUCACCAGCCUUUUCUUUGUUAGUAGUCUCCUUUGAGCUCUCGGCCACACAAAAAACCUUUGUUUUGGCUGUGCUACACUACUCCAUAUCAAAUUUGCUAUAUGCAGUCUUUGCAUUUCCCCUAGCAGUGCAAUAUAACUCCUAGUUAUUGAGUAACCACCACCCUUUCCCAAGUUGUACACUCCUUGUUCAUACCAUCUAUUCAUGUCCUCCUUUAAAGAGUUAAUCUUCUUUCAAUACCAACUACAAUCAGUUGGUAUCUUAUGAGUCCAAAUGUUAGUAUCAGUUUUCAUAUAUAGUCCGUGCACCCACUUCACCCAUAGAGCUUCUUUGUUAUUGAGUAGCUGCCAUAAUAAUUUCCCCACUGAUGCCACAUUCCAUAGUUUACUUCCUUUAACAUUCAGCCCACCAAAUUUCUUAGGAAAACAUACUCUUUCCCAUGCCACUAAGGCCAGUUUCCUCUUGUUUUCAAUACUCCCCCAAAGGUAGUCCCUACAUAUGUUGUCAACCUUUUUUACCACAACCUGAGGUAGGAUGAAUACAGAGCUUCAGAAGUUGUAGAUGGAGAACAUCACAGAAUUUACCACCUGCAAUCUGCCUGCAUAUGACAGCUGCUUAGAGUAUCAAGUUUUUAUCCUGCUGGUUAUUCUGUCUACCAACUGACAUCAAUCCAAUUUAUUCCAUUUCUUAGAUGAAAGGGGAAGUCCAAGAUAUCUAGUUGGGAAGGAACCUUGAGUAAAACCUGUUUUUGCUAAUAACUGCUCCUUUGUUAAGUCAUCCACCCUAGCAAUGAAAAUAUUGGAUUUAUCUUGUCUUGGUUAGCAAUUAAUCAUGAUGCCUCACUAAAGUGAUUCAAAGCUUCUACCACCCUAUUAAGUGAUGCCAGAUUGCCUUUUCAGAAGAUCAUAAGAUCAUCUGCAAAGAUCAAGUGAGUUAACUUUAGUUGCUUGCACAUGGGGUGAAACCGAAAAUACUUAGAUGUUCUCAUUUUUUGCGACAUUCUUUCUUUUUUAGCAUAUUCCAAAAAGAAUGAGAUAAUUCUUAACUUGAAAACUAUUUUAUUUUAACAUCCACAUUUUAUCUUUAUUGCUAUGACUUGUUUGGACUCCACUUGAUAUAAAAAAUAUAUUAUUCGUAUUAGGAGAGAAAUUGAAAGUGAUAUCGGAAACCUUACCACUUGUAAUUUUAAAUUUUGACCAAUUUUAGAACCACAAUUCACAUGAUGCUUCAGAGUUCAGACUUAGUUUAUAGUAGGCACUUAUGGAUAAAAUAACUAUAAUUGAGUUAUAGCUACAAAGCCUAAUAUAUCUAAAUUGACUCAUAGCAAUUCAAUGGUCGAUUUUCAUAAUUUAGAACACGUGAUGUGGAUUCAGAACGUUGAGAAUAUUUGUUGAAAUGGUUUAUUCUUCUCUUUUAGUACAUUUGUUCUAUCCAGGAAUUAUUUUGUACUUAGUGUCCUUUUCCCUUAAAAAAAUUCUACCAACUAAAUAGCAAAUCCUCUUAGCAAACUAAGUACUGUUGAUAUACUUGUUUGGUUUCACACCCUAUUGUUUGAUAUAUCUAAACACGUCGUAGUUCAACAAUUCCUAAAAGAGAUAACUUGAGCACUACUAGAAAGAGUAUUUGCAUGAAAUUUCAUAUUAUAUUCCAUAAAACAGUUAUAUACACGUUAAAAAAUUGGUUAUACUACGCUGCUCUUCACUAUUCCGGAGAAGCUGCCUUUAUUGCACGAGUAAAGAGCAGUCCGGUGCACUAAGCUCCCGCUAUGCACUAUGCUGCCUUUAUUGCAAGAGUCAACAACAACAACGACCCAGUGAAAUCCCACUAGUGGGGUUUGGGGAGGGUAGUGUGUACGCAGACCUUACCCCUACCCCGAGGGAGUAGAGAGGCUGUUUCCGAAAGACCCUCGGCUCAACUAAGCUCCCGCUACGCACUAAGCUGCCUUUAUUGCAGGAGUCAACAACUGCCUUUAUUGCAGGAGUAUGAUAGAAAAAAGAAUGUCCCUUUAACAUUUAUCUUCUACAUGCAACAAUGGUGAAGAGGACCUAAGCUGCAAGAGAUGUGUAUCAUAAUUGUCCAUGGCCUAACAGCUAAAAGAACACUCGAGGCCAUUAGCAGCAGCAAUACCAACUGUUGACAGAUUGCUACUGCUGCUAAAGAAAAUUGUUAAGCAAAAGGCAAAAGUUUAUACUGCUAAUUCUCUAAACUAUGUAUGUAAGCUGCUCCAAAUCUGUGACAACUUGGUUGAUUGCAUGAAUAAUCAUUUUCUUUAUCUGUUCCAUCAAAGGAUGAAAUAAGUUAGUAGACAAUGGAGGCUUAACCGCCAGAUUAAGAUAAAGCAUUUUGAUAUGGUACCUCUAGUUUGUCUUCUCUGACC